GUCAGUGUGAGGUAGUGGUUUGAGUGUUGGACUAGAACACUGGGAGACCAGGGUUCGAAUCCCUGCUCAGCCA